rnacentral:rRNA from 1 species
GACGAACGCUGGCGGCGUGCCUAAUACAUGCAAGUUGAGCGAUGAAGCUUGGUGCUUGCACCAAUUUGAAGAGCAGCGAACGGGUGAGUAACGCGUGGGGAAUCUGCCUUUGAGCGGGGGACAACAUUUGGAAACGAAUGCUAAUACCGCAUAACAACUUUAAACAUAAGUUUUAAGUUUGAAAGAUGCAAUUGCAUCACUCAAAGAUGAUCCCGCGUUGUAUUAGCUAGUUGGUGAGGUAAAGGCUCACCAAGGCGAUGAUACAUAGCCGACCUGAGAGGGUGAUCGGCCACAUUGGGACUGAGACACGGCCCAAACUGCUACGGGAGGCAGCAGUAGGGAAACGUCGGCAAGGGACGAAAGUCUGACCGAGCAACGCCGCGUGAGGGAAGAAGGUUUUCGGAUCGUAAAACUCUGUUGGUAGAGAAGAACGUUGGUGAGAGUGGAAAGCUCAUCAAGUGACGGUAACUACCCAGAAAGGGACGGCUAACUACGUG